AUUGAACGCUGGCGGCAGGCCUAACACAUGCAAGUCGAGCGAGCGGCGGACGGGGGAGUAAGGUCUGGGAAACUGCCGGAUGGAGGGGGAUAACUACUGGAAACGGUAGCUAAUACCGCAUACAAGCAGAUGUGGCAAGAUGGGGUUAGCUAGGAGGUGGGGUAACGGCUCACCUAGGCGACGAUCCCUAGCUGGUCUGAGAGGAUGACCAGCCACACUGGGACUGAGACACGGCCCAGACUCCUACGGGAGGCAGCAGUGGGGAAUAUUGCACAAUGGGCGCAAGCCUGAUGCAGCAAUGCCGCGUGUGUGAAGAAGGCCUUCGGGUUGUAAAGCACUUUCAGCGGGGAGGCGUUACCCACAGAAGAAGCACCGGCUAACUCCGUGCCAGCCGCCGCGGUAAUUC
rnacentral:rRNA from 1 species